UGCCCUAGUAACGGCGAGUGAAGCGGCAACAGCUCAAAUUUGAAAUCUGGCUCUUUUAGAGUCCGAGUUGUAAUUUGCAGAGGGCGCUUUGGCUUUGGCAGCGGUCCAAGUUCCUUGGAACAGGACGUCACAGAGGGUGAGAAUCCCGUACGUGGUCGCUGGCUAUUGCCGUGUAAAGCCCCUUCGACGAGUCGAGUUGUUUGGGAAUGCAGCUCUAAAUGGGAGGUACAUUUCUUCUAAAGCUAAAUAUUGGCCAGAGACCGAUAGCGCACAAGUAGAGUGAUCGAAAGAUGAAAAGCACUUUGGAAAGAGAGUCAAACAGCACGUGAAAUUGUUGAAAGGGAAGCGCUUGCAGCCAGACUUGCUUGCAGUUGCUCAUCCGGGCUUUUGCCCGGUGCACUCUUCUGUAGGCAGGCCAGCAUCAGUUUGGGCGGUAGGAUAAAGGUCUCUGUCACGUACCUCUCUUCGGGGAGGCCUUAUAGGGGAGGCGACAUACUACCAGCCUGGACUGAGGUCCGCGCAUCUGCUAGGAUGCUGGCGUAAUGGCUGUAAGCGGCCCGUCUUGAAACACGGACCAAGGAGUCUAACAUCUAUGCGAGUGUUUGGGUGUCAAGCCCGAGCGCGUAAUGAAAGUGAACGGAGGUAGGACCCCGCAAGGGUGCACUAUCGACCGAUCCUGAUGUCUUCGGAAGGAUUUGAGUAAGAGCAUGGCUGUUGGGAC
rnacentral:rRNA from 1 species